UCGCUAGUCUCGUGUAGUCGUUCAAACAGAAACGUCGAUCCGAGGGUUAGUAUCGGCAUUAGAAACGGGCAUGCAGUACGGAAAAAUUUCGUGGUGGAUAUGGUUAUCCUUCUUAUCUAUAACAACGAUUUAUGUGCCGAUCCAAGCAACCACGCUAAACCCAGAGACCAUGAGGCAGAUACUUCCAGCGUACGCGGUUUUGGAAAACGUGGAUCUGUUAAAUUUCAGCAGAUGUCGGACGGAGAUUGAUGAAUUUCGUAGUGCUGUUGACAACCAGAUACUUUGGGGUUUAAGAGCGUUGCACACCAGUGGCGUGCCACCCGGGGGAUUUAUGAGCGGGCACAAUUAUUGGUUAGGAGAUCGUAUGGGUUGCACCAUUCUUUCCCAAAAUCGCACGUUGUUUGUCUCGGAGGGGAAACGAAAGAACAAUACGAUAUAUCGCAACCCGAACGAGGAGCACCCACCUUUUGAGUUCCGUUAUUUUAUUGGACGCAUGCGGCACAGUAGCACUAUGCAAUAUCACCAAGAAAUGCC